AACGAACGCUGGCGGCAGGCUUAACACAUGCAAGUCGAACGCCCCGCAAGGGGAGUGGCAGACGGGUGAGUAACGCGUGGGAAUCUACCGUGCCCUACGGAACAACAGUUGGAAACGACUGCUAAUACCGUAUAAGCCCUACGGGGGAAAGAGUUAUCGGGGUAUGAUGAGCCCGCGUUGGAUUAGCUAGUUGGUGGGGUAAAGGCCAACCAAGGCGACGAUCCAUAGCUGGUCUGAGAGGAUGAUCAGCCACAUUGGGACUGAGACACGGCCCAAACUCCUACGGGAGGCAGCAGUGGGGAAUAUUGGACAAUGGGCGCAAGCCUGAUCCAGCCAUGCCGCGUGAGUGAUGAAGGUCUUAGGAUUGUAAAGCUCUUUCACCGACGAAGAUAAUGACGGUAGUCGGAGAAGAAGCCCCGGCUAACUUCGUGCCAGCAGCCGCCGUAACAC
rnacentral:rRNA from 1 species